CGGACGGGUGAGUAAUGUAUGGGGAUCUGCCUGAUGGCGGGGGAUAACUACUGGAAACGGUAGCUAAUACCGCAUAACGUCGCAAGACCAAAGAGGGGGACCUUAGGGCCUCUUGCCAUCGGAUGUGCCCAGAUGGGAUUAGCUAGUAGGUGGGGUAACGGCUCACCUAGGCGACGAUCCCUAGCUGGUCUGAGAGGAUGACCAGCCACACUGGAACUGAGACACGGUCCAG
rnacentral:rRNA from 1 species